rnacentral:lncRNA from 1 species
CGCGGGAGAAAAGCCCUGCGAGGAAAUUCAACCUGGGCAGCCCGAAACGGGCUCCCGCCGGCCGCGCCCGCACCCUCCGCCCGGGGCUUCGGGGACCAGCAUACAAUAGCGCAGCCGGGGGCCUGGGAAGCCCCACUCGCCCCAGAGGAGGAGCCGGUGGACUUGGUUCUCGCCAGGGAGACGUGGCAUCUCAGCAGCCCCUCAGAGCCCAUCUGAACUCCGGCCCGGAAGGCCACCCCCGGCCGGAGUAACCGUCUCCCGACCUCGGGGCCGUGUGUCCCCGCCUUUUGUGGUGCAAAUGAGGAGCGCUCCGGGGCCCGGGGGGCGGCGCUCGCCCGGGACAAAGUUUGCCCGCUGCUUCUCCGACACUUCCUUCACACUUUGUUUGAGCUCGGCGCGGGAAGGUCGGCGCGGGAAGGUCGGAUCCAUCCAGGGAUCCCCCCUGCCGGCGUGGAGGAAUGCUGAGGAAGGCCUAUAGGACUAGUUUUCAUGGUGAGUCCGACAAGGAAAAAGAGAGAGGGUUACAACAGCAGCACAGUUCAUGAGGACAACUGUUUAAGAGGACUUGUCCUUAUGUGUCUCCAGUGCUCCAAACCUGGUAAGAAGGACUUCUGGUCCUCGGUCCCCUUCCCCACCUUACUGUCCUUUCUGGAGUCUCAGACCCACAGCUUCACGCUUUUCUUGACUUUUAACCAUGUACCUUUUGUCAGGGCCUUUGGGUGACCUCUUCCUUUUUGAAGUUAGGCCUCCUCUUUCUGUAUUUUUAGACCAUAAAUGAAC